rnacentral:tRNA from 1 species
GCAGGAUUGGCCGAGCGGUUUAGGCAACGAACUCAUAAUUCGUCCCAGGCAGGUUCAACCCCUGCAUCCUGCAUCA